rnacentral:lncRNA from 1 species
CANNGCAAUUAGCUGAUGAACUGCACUUAGAGCAAAAUGAAGAAAAAGCUCAUUUCAUGCGAAAUUGCUAUAAUUGCGGAGCUUCUAAUCAUUUAGCUCGUCACUGCAAGCAAGCUACUCCAUUCUCGGACCAGAGGAGGAGCGGCGGAAGAAGUUUGCAGCAGCAGCAAAAGAAAAAGAAGGACAGAGCCAAAUUUCAAAGACAAAAGGCUCAGCAGUCUGCAUAUUUUAUUGCCAAAACAUCAGACGAAUGCGUGAAGUGGGCAAUAGAUUCGGCAACAACUUCUCAUUUAAUUAAUGAUGUUAAUCUGUCCACUAAUGAGAUAAGAACACCAAAUUGCCGUUACGUGCAGCUUGCAGACGGAUCUAAAGUUAAAGUCCUGAAGCAAGGCACGGUUUACUUAAAGGAACUUGAUUUACUUUUAAAAGAUGUACUAUUAAUAGAAAACCUUAAAUGCUGUUUGUUAAGCGUAUGUAAGCUUGCAGAGCAGGGAUUGACGCUUACAUUUAGCAAUAAGGAAUGUUCUAUUUAUAAGGGAACAGAGUUAAAGUGCACUGCUCAAUUGAUAAAUAACUUAUAUCAAUUAGAAACAGUUGAGCAGACCUCCCUAAUUGAGAAUUUACCGUUGCACAGUAGGUGCAUUCACCUUUUGCAUAGGAGGCUUGCGCACUAUUCAUUUAAAACAAUUGCCAAAACUUUAAAAGAAUUAAACAUGUCAUGUGACAAAUGUUCAAAAUAUUUAAAUUGUAGCAUUUGCAAUUCUCAAAAGCUCAGGGCAUACCCCGUUUCUAAAAAGAGUCUAAGGCAAAGNAAAAGACCUUUUGAGCUCGUACAUAUCGAUCUGGCCGGGCCAUAUCCAAUUUCAAUUGGAGGAGCUAAAUAUUUUUUGGUUUUGAAAGAUGAUUUUUCUCAUUUUGUUUAUGUGAGAUUUCUUAAAGAGAAGAGCGAGGCAGCUGAGAAAAUCCAGGACUGGAUUACAUUAAUUGAAAAUCAGUUUGACCUUAACAUAAAGAAAUUGCAGACAGAUUCUGGGGGUGAAUUUAUGAGCAAUACAUUUAGAAAUUGGUUGAAUAAGAAAGGCAUUAUACAUANAAGGUCAAAUGUCCAAGUNCCUCAGGAAAANGGCGUUGCAGAANGCAGUAUCCAAACUUUGAAUCANUUAGCUAAUUCUAUGUUAGCAGAUUCAAAACUUCNNAAAACAUUNUGGGCAGAAGCUAUCUCUACUUCAGCCUAUAUACACAAUAUUGUCUGGUCAAAUAGCGUGAAAGCAGUGCCAUAUACUUUGUUAUAUNACAAAACGCCAAAUUACAAAAUAUUNCNUACAUUUGGUGCUGAGUCUGANGUACUCAUACCUGCAAANUUCAGACGAAAGCAUGAGCCCAAAUCACUUCNUUUAUAUUUNCUUGGGUAUUCUGAAGAAAUUAAGGCNUACCGUUUCGGUGAUUUAAAUGGCAGAAUUUACCAUAGCCGCAGUGCUAACAUUUCNGAGGAAAAUUGGGAGUUCAUCCACCAAAACAAAGAAAUUUU